UCAACCCUCAAGCCCUGCUUGGUGUUGAGCCCUCGCCAGCGAUGGCCGGCUCUAAAAUCAGUGGCGGCGCCGCUGGGUCCUGAACGUAGUAAUCUCCUCGCUACAGGUGCUCGGUGUGCUCCCGUCGAACCUUAACUUUCU
rnacentral:rRNA from 1 species